AGAGUUUGAUCCUGGCUCAGGACGAACGCUGGCGGCGUGCUUAACACAUGCAAGUCGAGCGGAAAGGCCCUUCGGGGUACUCGAGCGGCGAACGGGUGAGUAACACGUGAGCAACCUGCCCUUAGCUUUGGGAUAGCUCCGGGAAACCGGAAUUAAUACCGAAUAUUACGUCAAUCGACAUCGGCUGACGUGGAAAGAUUUAUCGGCUGAGGAUGGACUCGCGGCCUAUCAGCUAGUUGGUGGGGUAACGGCCUACCAAGGCGACGACGGGUAGCCGGCCUGAGAGGGCGACCGGCCACACUGGGACUGAGACACGGCCCAGACUCCUACGGGAGGCAGCAGUGGGGAAUCUUGCGCAAUGGGCGAAAGCCUGACGCAGCGACGCCGCGUGGGGGAUGAAGGCCUUCGGGUUGUAAACCCCUUUCAGCAGGGACGAAGCGAAAGUGACGGUACCUGCAGAAGAAGCGCCGGCUAACUACGUGCCAGCAGCCGCGGUAACACGUAGGGCGCAAGCGUUGUCCGGAAUUAUUGGGCGUAAAGAGCUCGUAGGCGGACUGUCACGUCUGCUGUGAAAAGCUGGGGCUUAACCCUGGCCUUGCAGUGGAUACGGGCAGACUAGAGGUAGGUAGGGGAGAAUGGAAUUCCCGGUGUAGCGGUGAAAUGCGCAGAUAUCGGGAGGAACACCGGUGGCGAAGGCGGUUCUCUGGGCCUUACCUGACGCUGAGGAGCGAAAGCGUGGGGAGCGAACAGGAUUAGAUACCCUAGUAGUCC
rnacentral:rRNA from 1 species